GUAUCCAUCGAUUAGUGUCUAUAUCACCUCGUUGUGGGUGAGGAGCCCAGUGUUCGACUCACUGUGGGCACA